GUGGGGAAUAUUGGACAAUGGGGGGAACCCUGAUCCAGCCAUGCCGCGUGUGUGAAGAAGGCCUUUUGGUUGUAAAGCACUUUAAGCGAGGAGGAGGCUACCGAGAUUAAUACUCUUGGAUAGUGGACGUUACUCGCAGAAUAAGCACCGGCUAACUCUGUGCCAGCAGCCGCGGUAAUACAGAGGGUGCAAGCGUUAAUCGGAUUUACUGGGCGUAAAGCGCGCGUAGGUGGCCAAUUAAGUCAAAUGUGAAAUCCCCGAGCUUAACGUGGGAAUUGCAUUCGGUACUGGUUGGCUAGAGUAUGGGAGAGGAUGGUAGAAUUCCAGGUGUAGCGGUGAAAUGCGUAGAGAUCUGGAGGAAUACCGAUGGCGAAGGCAGCCAUCUGGCCUAAUACUGACACUGAGGUGCGAAAGCAUGGGGAGCAAACAGGAUUAGAAACCCGAGUAGUCC
rnacentral:rRNA from 1 species